rnacentral:rRNA from 1 species
AUGGUGGUAACGGGUAACGGGGUGUUAGGGCACGACACCGGAGAGGGAGCCUGAGAAACGGCUACCACAUCCAAGGAUGGCAGCAGGCGCGCAAAUUACCCAAUCCCGACACGGGGAGGUAGUGACAAUAAAUAACAAUACGGGGUUCUUUUGGAUUUCGUAAUUGGAAUGAGUACAAUUUAAAUCCCUUAACGAGGAACAAUUGGAGGGCAAGUCUGGUGCCAGCAGCCGCGGUAAUUCCAGCUCCAAUAGCGUAUAUUAAAGUUGUUGCAGUUAAAAAGCUCGUAGUUGAAUUUCGGGAUUGACGUGAUGGUCAUGCCUUAAGGGGUAUGAACUGUCACAGUUGAUUUCUCACCUUCUGGAGAAACUUGAUGUCCUUUAUUGGGUGUCUUGCGGAUCCAGGACCUUUACCUUGAAAAAAUUAGAGUGUUUAAAGCAGGCAUUUUUGCUCGAAUACAUUAGCAUGGAAUAAUAGAAUAGGACGGCAUGGUUCUAUUUUGUUGGUUUCUAGGAUCACCGUAAUGAUUAAUAGGGAUAGUUGGGGGCAUUAGUAUUCAAUUGUCAGAGGUGAAAUUCUUGGAUUUAUUGAAGACUGACUACUGCGAAAGCAUUUGCCAAGGAUGUUUUCAUUAAUCAAGAACGAAAGUUAGGGGAUCGAAGACGAUCAGAUACCGUCGUAGUCUUAACCAUAAACUAUGCCGA